AAUAAAGAGAUAGACAGCUCAGGACACAGAUUUGUUGGGGCUUGUCCAUCGAUGCUGUUGCGGGGGCCUUACACAACCGGUUGCUUACCCCUUAAGUCGAUUUUCAUGUGAUCAAUAGAAGAGAUCAUGACUGGGUUCUAGGCUCUAGAAAACUAGUAAAAGAAAGAAAGAAAGAAAAAAACACAAUAACUCUCCAACCCAACUCCUUAGUGGACAGAAAGGCCUGAAAGAGACCUAUGCACUCAGGCAUGGAGACUUCUAUCCCCAGUAGAUUAGAAAAAAAAGAAAAGACUUCUUUGCUUUGCUGGCCACAGCCCUCUCACUGCAUCCUCCAAGUCAAGGCCAGAAGUGAUGGGGAGACGAAUGUCGUUGAGUGUGGCCUGAACUCCCGGACGUUGACUUCUUCAAGCCUGGCCACCAGAGCCAGGAGUUCUAGUUCUCCACAGUCUCCGAUGCUGCCAGUCAGCAAUGGCAGGACAUUCCACCUAAAACCAUGUCGAGGGUGGUUUCAACCUCAGGAUCACCCACAAUUUAAACACUGAAUACACCUGAGCUUCCCAUAUCCAAUUACUGAGGUCAAAAAAGUUGGGUGGGUUGAGGGAACUUGACAUGGAGCCAUGUCUAACCUGGCACCAUUCACAAAGCAAGUAGCAUUCCCAUUUAGUUUAUGUAUUUGAAGUCAUAUCUGGUGACUUCAUUUUCAAUAGAUGCACUUUUUAAUUUAUUGUCCAUGGCAGAUAUGUCUUGUUAUAGGUAUCUUGAAUUGUCCUCAAACAUAUCAAAACAGGUAACUUGUCCUUCCAAAGUCUCACCAAAGCACUUCACGUCAAUCUAAGUAACAUAAGUUUCCAGGAAGAAAUUAUAUAGCCUCUUAGUUUGGUUCACAGCCUGAUUUUUAUAGAUUCAUAGAAGCCUAAAUUUUCUCUCAUCUGCUAAACUUGACUGUUUUUCAAAACAGCCUUCAAAAAUGUAAAAUUUGCUCCUUAAAAAUGUGUCUUCUGGUAUAGUAGCUGCCACCCAUUAAAUGUCAGUGCCCCCACCCUUGAGACUGCUCAUCAGGAAAGGCCAUUGCAGGAUGGGCCCAUUAAAAUUUCCAAGUAGGAGAAUCAUACACAGUGUCAGUCACAAAAUAUUUGAACUCUUACCUUGUUGUCUGACACCAUUUUCUUGCUCUGGGAUUGUAGCAGAAUCACACUUGUUUUGGAGAUUACUAUGAUACCUCAGGCUUAGCUGACAGGAAUGGGACCCUGAGCACCAGAACUCACAGAUGAUUUUGGCCUGCAUUGUCAUGGGGGAAUGAUCUUCAAAACCAGGCACAGAGAAAUCAGACUGGGUGAUUGACAUGGGAGGAGGAGGAGGCUUAAUACAGAUUUACUUCUAUGUUGGAAACACACCUAGAGAAAAAGCCCACAAUGUUUGUGACUAUAUGUUUGCACCUCCACCUAGAGAUGAGUUCCUCAAGAUUAAGGACAGUGUUUCGCCUAUCUUUGUAUCCCCAGUAUCUAGCAUA